GAUGAACGCUGGCGGCGUGCCUAACACAUGCAAGUCGAGCGGAGAUUACGGACGGAAGUUUUCGGAUGGAAGCCUGUAAUUCUUAGUGGCGGACGGGUGAGUAACGCGUGGGCAACCUGCCCUAUACAGGGGGAUAGCAGCUGGAAGCGGCUGGUAAGACCGCAUAAGUCGGUUAAAUCGCAUGAUUUGAUCGGGAAAUGAGCAAUCAGGUAUAGGAUGGGCCCGCGUCCGAUUAGCCAGUUGGCAGGGUAAAAGCCUACCAAAGCGACGAUCGGUAGCCGGACUGAGAGGUCGGACGGCCACAUUGGGACUGAGACACGGCCCAAACUCCUACGGGAGGCAGCAGUGGGGGAUAUUGCACAAUGGAGGAAACUCUGAUGCAGCGACGCCGCGUGAGUGAAGAAGUAUUUCGGUAUGUAAAGCUCUAUCAGCAGGGAAGAUGAUGACGGCACCUGACUAAGAAGCCCCGGCUAACUACGUG
rnacentral:rRNA from 1 species